CCCAGAAUGCAUGUGUGAUCCACUACCCCAUCUCGGACCAUGAGGCCGCCCUGAGGUGCUGGGUCCCGGGCUUCUACCAUGUGGAAAUCACAGUGACCCAACUGUGGGAUGGGGAGGACCAAAUUUAGGACGCAGAGCUUGUGGGGACCAGACCUGCAGGGUAUAGAACCUUCCAGAAGUGGGCAGCUGUGGUGCUGUCUUCUAGAGACAAGUAGAGAUCCACAUGCCAUGUGCAGCAGGAGGCACUGCCAGAGCCCCUCACACUGAGAUGGGGCCAUCUUCCCAGCCCACAUUCCUCAUCAUGGGCAUCGUUACCGUCCUGGUUGUUCUAGGUGCUGUGGUCACUGCUGUGAUGUGGAAGAAUAAGACCCCAGGUAGGAUGGAAAAGGAGUCAGCUAUGCUCAGGCUUCAAGUAAGAACAGUACCCAGGGCUCUGAUGUGUCUCUCAAGUCUUG
rnacentral:lncRNA from 1 species